UACAGAGGUCUCGAGCGUUAGGCGGAAUCACUGGGCUUAAAGCGUGUGUAGGUGGAUCGUUAAGUACCUUGUGAAACCCCACGGCUUACCCGUGGAACGGCUGGGUAUACUGGUUGUCUUGAGCCACUUAGGGGCUACCGGAACAAAUGGUGGAGCGGUGAAAUGCGUAGAUAUCAUUUGGAACGCCAAUGGUGAAAACAGGUAGCUGGGAGUGUGCUGACGCUGAGACACGAAAGCCAGGGGAGCGAACGGG
rnacentral:rRNA from 1 species